UCCUCGUCUCGUCCAAGCCAUGCUGCUAUGUCACAAUAGACUCCAGAGACCUCAGCUGAGCACGCAUCAAGCAGCAAUUUAGAUGAAAGUAUAAAGGAACACAUAGACAAUUUGAUACUAGAGGGAGAAUGAGAUAACAACCAUGUGAGCUGCACAAGUAAACUUUGUUGCUCUCCGUCUAACAACUUAUUUGAGGAUUUUAGAAUAAUUUAUGCUGAAAGAGACUUGUUUCCAAUGGAGAUCUCCUGCAUGAACAGAAAUAUUAUUGGCAAAACUGCAGUAUCUCUUGCAAGGUAAGUGUAGUUCCUCAAUUCAUAGUACCUUUUCUUGUACGUUUGAGUAGUUCUCCCCCUUUGGCAACAAAGCUCAGAGCUGCUGUAACAGUUGAUUCUUUGUUACCUUCGACAUGCUCGUCAGCUAGAACAACAGCUGCAGCUCCAUUUCCUUUCUGUAGCCUCGCCCUUAGAAUCGCAGCACCUCUCAAUGCUGUAACGGUGAAUGCCAAUGAGAUAGAUUAGUGUUACCUGUUUAAGCUUCCUUAUAGUAUGAAACAGUUGACGAGAAUUGUUUGCAUCUCUAUAACGGUUGACCAGUUGGAUUGAUACCUGUAGCAGCUCCAGCAGUUAAGGUCAUGAUGUCUCCACUAGUUCUUGCAUUAAUAGCUGAAUUUACAGCCAAUAAGAUUUGUUCCUGUUCAGCACCCAUGUCCUCUGCAAUUUCAAUACAGUGAGAUGCAACUAAAGCUGCUGCAGAGGCAAUUACAGUCGACAUCUUUGAAGAUGUUUUGUGUUGGGUUGUGGACUUCUCUGGAGAAGUUACUGAUGCGGUUGCAAGAGCGGCCACUGCAGCUGCAACCCCUGCUACUGAAACUGCUGCGUGCACUUGGGCACUGUGAGUUCUAAGCUCUUGUUUUUUCUUUUCUUUUUGAUCUUUUAGCCAUCUACCCAUUGUCUUACCACGCAUCACGGUCCUGUAGAGCUGCAUUAUGCCAGUUUUGGUCAUGUGGGUUCAGAUGCAUUAGUAAAAUAUUUCCAAAAUAAAUGUAUACCCCAGCUUUCAUCAAAUGUUGACUAGAGAGGAAAUCUGGAUUGAGUGCCUGAUGUAAUAAAAACAAUUCCUGCACACAUCAAUACAGUUAGUUCUGAUUAUGGUUAUUCAAAGUGAAAGACAGAGAGAGAUAAGGGUAAUUUUAGGACCAAGAAAGAAAGUGUAAUUCCAUCAACCUAGAGUCCAUGUACUUAAUUAGAUUCACAAAAUAAUGAUGACUUCAUGGUUAUUCUUUCGACCAAAUGCAUGACUCAUUGUUGUACU